GACGAACGCUGGCGGCGUGCUUAACACAUGCAAGUCGAACGGAAAGGCCCUGCUUUUGUGGGGUGCUCGAGUGGCGAACGGGUGAGUAACACGUGAGUAACCUGCCCUUGACUUUGGGAUAACUUCAGGAAACUGGGGCUAAUACCGGAUAGGAGCUCCUGCUGCAUGGUGGGGGUUGGAAAGUUUCGGCGGUUGGGGAUGGACUCGCGGCUUAUCAGCUUGUUGGUGGGGUAGUGGCUUACCAAGGCUUUGACGGGUAGCCGGCCUGAGAGGGUGACCGGCCACAUUGGGAUUGAGAUACGGCCCAGACUGCUACGGGAGGCAGCAGGGGGGAAUAUUGCACAAUGGGCGGAAGCCUGAUGCAGCAACGCCGCGUGCGGGAUGACGGCCUUCGGGUUGUAAACCGCUUUCGCCUGUGACGAAGCGGGAGUGACGGUAAUGGGUAAAGAAGCACCGGCUAACUACGUG
rnacentral:rRNA from 1 species